rnacentral:rRNA from 1 species
CCUACGGGGUGCUGCAGUGGGGAAUAUUGGACAAUGGGCGAAAGCCUGAUCCAGCCAUGCCGCGUGUGUGAAGAAGGCCUUCGGGUUGUAAAGCACUUUCAGUGGGGAAGAAAGCCUUGGGGCUAAUACCCUCGAGGAAGGACAUCACCCACAGAAGAAGCACCGGCUAACUCCGUGCCAGCAGCCGCGGUAAUACGGAGGGUGCGAGCGUUAAUCGGAAUUACUGGGCGUAAAGCGCGCGUAGGCGGUCUGAUAAGCCGGUUGUGAAAGCCCCGGGCUCAACCUGGGAACGGCAUCCGGAACUGUCAGGCUAGAGUGCAGGAGAGGAAGGUAGAAUUCCUGGUGUAGCGGUGAAAUGCGUAGAGAUCGGGAGGAAUACCAGUGGCGAAGGCGGCCUUCUGGACUGACACUGACGCUGAGGUGCGAAAGCGUGGGUAGCAAACAGGAUUAGAUACCCCUGUAGUC